rnacentral:misc_RNA from 1 species
GAAAAUUCUUGCAUUUGUGGUAAAAUUUUCAACUAAUGACCUUAGUAUCUGCCAAUGCCUUUGCUAAUUCUUGAUCAGUGCAAAUCAGACCUGCAUUACAUCUCCACAAAUAACCCUUUUCUUCCCAUAUUCUUAUUUUCUAUUGAUAAAAAUGAUGAUCUACAUCUACUUGUUUUUGGAUAUUUCAUAAUAAAUAAUAGAAGAACAGUAUCUCUGUUUCUG